GUUUUUUUCCAGCCCCACGCGUUUCUUUUUUUCUCCAUCCAAGAAGAUGUACUUUCAACGCCCACCUGUUCAGAGAAGGAGUCUGCCUCGCUGCUCACUGUGCCUUCUUCAUCGCGGCAGCUGGGCCCAGCACCUGGUGUGUGUGUGUGUGGAGUUGGACAUUCUUAUUGAUUUUCUGGAGAGGAGGAGUGGUCCCAGACAUCGUGGCUCCCCCGCCGUGCCCCCCAGCCCCAGCGUAGAAGGCAACACAAGAAGAGCCCGGAUGCAGCAAGCAGCUGUUUGUAAUGAUGAGUCGUGGAUAAGUCCAUGAUACACUACCUGCACUAAAACAAAC